rnacentral:rRNA from 2 species
CGGAGGGGGUUAGCGUUGUUCGGAAUUACUGGGCGUAAAGCGCACGUAGGCGGACUGGAAAGUUAGAGGUGAAAUCCCGGGGCUCAACCCCGGAACUGCCUUUAAAACUAUCAGUCUAGAGUUCGAGAGAGGUGAGUGGAAUUCCGAGUGUAGAGGUGAAAUUCGUAGAUAUUCGGAGGAACACCAGUGGCGAAGGCGGCUCACUGGCUCGAUACUGACGCUGAGGUGCGAAAGUGUGGGGAGCAAACAGGAUUAGAUACCCUGGUAGUCCACACCGUAAACGAUGAAUGCCAGUCGUCGGGUUGCUUGCAACUCGGUGACACACCUAACGGAUUAAGCAUUCCGCCUGGGGAGUACGGUCGCAAGAUUAAAACUCAAAGGAAAUUGACGG